ACGGUCCUACGGGGGGCAGCAGUGGGGGAUAUUGCACAAUGGGGGAAACCCUGAUGCAGCGACGCCGCGUGUGGGAAGACGGUCUUCUGGAUUGUAAACCACUGUCCCCAGGGACGAAACUGACGGUACCUGGGGAGGAAGCUCCGGCUAACUACGUGCCAGCAGCCGCGGUAAUACGUAGGGAGCAAGCGUUGUCCGGAAUUACUGGGUGUAAAGGGAGCGUAGGCGGGGAUGCAAGUUGGGUGUCAAAACUACCGGCUCAACCGAUAGUCGCACUCAAAACGGCAACUCUUGAGCGAAGCAGA
rnacentral:rRNA from 1 species